rnacentral:rRNA from 1 species
GACGAACGCUGGCGGCGUGCCUAAUACAUGCAAGUUGAGCGCUGAAGGUUGGUACUUGUACCAACUGGAUGAGCAGCGAACGGGUGAGUAACGCGUGGGGAAUCUGCCUUUGAGCGGGGGACAACAUUUGGAAACGAAUGCUAAUACCGCAUAAAAACUUUAAACACAAGUUUUAAGUUUGAAAGAUGCAAUUGCAUCACUCAAAGAUGAUCCCGCGUUGUAUUAGCUAGUUGGUGAGGUAAAGGCUCACCAAGGCGAUGAUACAUAGCCGACCUGAGAGGGUGAUCGGCCACAUUGGGACUGAGACACGGCCCAAACUCCUACGGGAGGCAGCAGUAGGGAAUCUUCGGCAAUGGACGAAAGUCUGACCGAGCAACGCCGCGUGAGUGAAGAAGGGUUUCGGAUCGUAAAACUCUGUUGGUAGAGAAGAACGUCGGUGAGAGUGGAAAGCUCAUCAAGUGACGGUAACUACCCAGAAAGGGACGGCUAACUACGUG